rnacentral:snRNA from 1 species
GUGCUUGCUUUGGCAGCAUAUAUAAUAAAAAUGAAUGAUUCAGACUAGGUUAGCAUUGUCACUGUUUAAGGCUCUUAUGCAAGUUUGUGAAGAGACUGCCCUUUCC